GACGUAGGUCGCGAACGUUAUCCGGAAUUAUUGGGCGUAAAGGAGUGCGUGAGCGGCGCGGUAAGUCGGGUGUGAAAUCUCGGGGCUUAACUCCGAAACUGCAUUCGAUACUGCCGUGCUUGAGGACUGGAGAGGAGACUGGAAUUUACGGUGUAGCGGUGAAAUGCGCAGAUAUCAGGAGGAACACCGGUGGCGAAGGCGGUUCUCUGGGCAUUACCUGACGCUGAGGAGCGAAAGUGUGGGGAGCGAACAGG
rnacentral:rRNA from 1 species